rnacentral:rRNA from 1 species
UACGUAGGUGACAAGCGUUGUCCGGAUUUACUGGGCGUAAAGAGCGCGCAGGCGGUCGAUCAAGUCGGGUGUGAAAGCCCCCGGCUCAACUGGGGAGGGUCAUUCGAUACUGAUCGACUCGAAGGCAGGAGAGGGUAGUGGAAUUCCCGGUGUAGUGGUGAAAUGCGUAGAUAUCGGGAGGAACACCAGUGGCGAAGGCGACUACCUGGCCUGUUCUUGACGCUGAGGCGCGAAAGCUAGGGGAGCAAACGGG